AUGAUUCCUGCCAUCCAAAUGGCUAUUCCCCAAGCAACCUUGUGCCACGCAGUCAGCGGAGACACCGUUAUUUUGCCCUGUGCCAUUAAGACUUCUGAAAAGCUGAACAUUUCCAAUUAUUCUAUAUACUGGCAGAUAAAUACAUCAGUGGUAGUGCAUUUGUUUUACCAUGGGGAGGACUUGUUGAAAGACCAGUCCAGAAGAUACCACAACAGAACCAGGCUCUUUUUGGAUCAGCUGGAGCGUGGUAACUUUUCUCUAAUGCUCUCUGGAGUUCAGCCUGCUGAUGAAGAUGUGUAUACCUGCAUCGCUAGAAACAAAGUGACCAAAACUAAGGACACGUAUAAAGUUAAACUCAACGUCUCACAUAAUCCAUUAAUUGAAAGAAAUGUUUCCCCUUUUGGUCAAACUCAGGGUGUAACAAAUUGUCCUGGGGAUGCAAACACCCUGGAUAUGCUUAUUCUCUGUUCUCACUUCCUGAUGGUGUUGGUGGUUUGGAUCUUGUAACUGUGAAAUCAGGGCUUUUGUCUGCAAAUUUCUCCUGGCAAGUGACUCUUGCAGCACAACACCCAUCUGUAAGGGUUGCACAACUACUAUUCCAGAAGCCACAAACAACAAGGCAUCACCACUUGAAAACUGGCCUUACAUUAAGCACCUAUAACCAUAGUUUGGUGCUCAAACAAGCAACCUUAUUUUUCAGAGGCACUGGCCAUCUGCAGGUCCAAGUGGCUUCAGUCAGAGGUAAUGAGCCUGAUUUUCCAUCCAUCUUCAAGAGCCUAGCGUUAGGCCUCCACAUUUGAAAAUUCUAACCCUACAAUUUGUGUGGUUUUUUUAUGACAAUUUUGAAUCCAAGUUCCAACUGAGGUUCACAAUGUUAUUAUAAUUGUCCUUAAUGUGAUCUUUCACAUGAAAGAUUGCAUGUGCUUUACAAAAAGGGGAAGUAAAAGAAGGAGAAAGCGUAGCUGUAUUAUACGUCAGAGAAAAACUGGAAGUUGUGGUGGUGGCUGCCUUUGCGAAAAUCAAGGGUGGAAACAUUGUGACAGGAAACUCGAGGCUGUGAACUAUGCCUGUGCCUCUUUUCAUUCUGAUGCAUCCAUUACAUCAUCAGUACAAAGAAAUCCAUUCAAUCAGCCAAAGGAGAAGUUGUUGUCAGAGGAUGUUAAAAAAAGCAAACAAUUCCAGAGGAAGAGUGCUGCAUACUACAAAUAAGCCAAAGACUUUGUUAGUUUCAGUCUUAUACUCUUCCCCAAAGAAAGUUAGAAGCAGCCAACUGAAAGGUACAGAACUGCUGUGCUACUUGGGUUAGGGUAUGUGCGAUUCUGCAACCUGUGAUGCGGAGUCACUAAAUUUAUAUAGGUUGUGUUUAUCACUCUGCAUUCCAUUUUUUGUUUAAAAUGUCCAUGGUUUAAGGAACUAAAACUAUCAUCUGUGUCUAUCGGGAUUGCAUUGCCUUACUCCUUAAAAUGCAAAAUGCAGAUAUAACUGAAGAUGUCUUGCCAUUGUUAAA
rnacentral:lncRNA from 1 species